rnacentral:rRNA from 1 species
GACUACAGGGGUAUCUAAUCCCGUUCGCUCCCCUGGCUUUCGAGCCUCAGUGUCAGUUACAGUCCAGAAAGUCGCCUUCGCCACUGGUGUUCCUCCUAAUCUCUACGCAUUUCACCGCUACACUAGGAAUUCCACUUUCCUCUCCUGCACUCAAGAAAUGUAGUUUCAAUCCCCUCACGGGGUUGAGCCCCGCACUUUUAAGACUGACUUACAUUCCCACCUGCGCUCCCUUUACGCCCAAUAAUUCCGGACAACGCUUGCCACCUACGUAUUACCGCGGCUGCUGGCACGUAGUUAGCCGUGGCUUUCUCGUUUAAUACCGUCAUUACAAACCCUUAUUCAAAGUCUGCACAUUCGUCUCAAACAACAGAGCUUUACGAUCCGAAAACCUUCUUCACUCACGCGGCGUUGCUCCGUCAGACUUUCGUCCAUUGCGGAAGAUUCCCCACUGCAGCCCCCCGUAGG